rnacentral:misc_RNA from 1 species
GUUCCCGAAGUCGAACAAGUUCGGCAAGGUGAUCGAAUAAGAUGAGAGCGGCGGAGCAACAGGCCGGCGCUCUCGCUGACCUCGCUUGCUCCCCUCCGUAGCAGAGCUACAUUACCGGCCACGUCCAAGAAAUGGUCCGCUAUAACGAAAUCCGCGACGGCGAGGUCGCUGUGAAUCCGCCGCCGCCGACUGACGCGGGGCUU